UACAGAGGUCUCAAGCGUUGUUCGGAUUCAUUGGGCGUAAAGGGUGCGUAGGUGGCGCCAUAAGUCAGGUGUGAAAUCUCGGGGCUCAACCCCGAAACUGCACUUGAUACUGUGGUGCUUGAGUACUGGAGAGGAGAUUGGAAUUUACGGUGUAGCAGUGAAAUGCGUAGAUAUCGUAAGGAAGACCAGUGGCGAAGGCGAGUCUCUGGACAUUUCCUGACGCUGAGGCACGAAAGCCAGGGGAGCAAACGGG
rnacentral:rRNA from 1 species